AGUGGGGAAUAUUGCACAAUGGGCGCAAGCCUGAUGCAGCAACGCCGUGUGAGUGAAGAAGGCCUUCGGGUUGUAAAACUCUGUCCUAAGGGAAGAAACAAAUGACGGUACCUUAGGAGGAAGCCCCGGCUAACUACGUGCCAGCAGCCGCGGUAAUACGUAGGGGGCAAGCGUUAUCCGGAAUCACUGGGCGUAAAGGGUGCGUAGGCGGCCUAUCAAGUCAGGGGUGAAAGGCAUUGGCUCAACCAAUGUAAGCCUUUGAAACUGUUGGGCUUGAGUGCAGGAGAGGUAAGUGGAAUUCCUAGUGUAGAGGUGAAAUUCGUAGAUAUUAGGAGGAACACCAGUGGCGAAGGCGACUUACUGGACUGUAACUGACGCUGAGGCACGAAAGCGUGGGGAGCGAACAGGAUUAGAUACCCUGGUGGUCCACGCCGUAAACGAUGAAUACUAGGUGUCGGGGGUCAAACCUCGGUGCCGCAGCAAACGCAUUAUGUAUUCCGCCUGGGGAGUACGCACGCAAGUGUG
rnacentral:rRNA from 1 species